rnacentral:rRNA from 1 species
GACGAACGCUGGCGGCGUGCUUAACACAUGCAAGUCGAACGGAAAGGCCCUGCUUUUGUGGUCUGUUCGAAUGGCGAACGUAACACUAACACAACCUUCACCCGCCUCUGACUUUGGUAUAACUUCAGGAAACUGGGGCUGAUAGUGCACAGCUGCUCCCGCUGCAUGGUGUGGGUUGGAUAUCUUCGGCGGUUGGGGAUGGACUCGCGGCUUAUCAGCUUGUUGGUGGGGUAGUGGCAUACCAAGGCGAUGACGGGUAGCCGGCCUGAGAGGGUGACCGGCCACACUGGGACUGAGAUACGGCCCAGACUCCUACGGGAGGCAGCAGUGGGGAAUAUUGCGCAAUGGGCGGAAGCCUGAUGCAGCAACGCCGCGUGCGGGAUGACGGCCUUCGGGUUGUAAACCGCUUUCGGCAGGGACGAAGCGUAAGUGACGGUAAUGGGAAAAGAAGCACCGGCUAACUACGUG